GACGAACGCUGGCGGCGUGCCUAAUACAUGCAAGUUGAGCGAUGAAGAUUGGUGCUUGUACCAAUUUGAAGAGCAGCGAACGGGUGAGUAACGCGUGGGGAAUCUGCCUUUGAGCGGGGGACAACAUUUGGAAACGAAUGCUAAUACCGCAUAACAACUUUAAACAUAAGUUUUAAGUUUGAAAGAUGCAAUUGCAUCACUCAAAGAUGAUCCCGCGUUGUAUUAGCUAGUUGGUGAGGUAAAGGCUCACCAAGGCGAUGAUACAUAGCCGACCUGAGAGGUGGACGGCCCACAUGGGAAUGGGAAACGGCCCCAAACCCUUACGGGGGCCGCCGUAAGGAAUCCUCGGCCAUGGAAGGAAGUCUGGCCGAGCAACGCCGCGUGAGUGGAGGAGGUUUUCGGGUCGUAAAACUCUGGUGGUAGGGAAGAAAGGUGGUGGGAGUGGAAAGCUCAUCCAGUGACGGUAACUACCCAGAAAGGGACGGCUAACUACCUG
rnacentral:rRNA from 1 species